rnacentral:rRNA from 1 species
GAUGAACGCUAGCGGGAGGCUUAACACAUGCAAGUCGAGGGGUAAAUGGUAGCAAUACUAUGAGACCGGCGGACGGGUGCGUAACGCGUAUGCAACAUACCUUGUGCAGGGGGAUAGCCCGUGGAAACGCGGAUUAAUAUUCCAUAGUCCAGCUAUAUCGCAUGGUAUAGUUGGUAAAGAUUUAUCGGCACAAGUUUGGCAUGCGUCUGAUUAGCUUGUUGGUAGGGUAACGGCCUACCAAGGCUACGAUCAGUAGGGGUUCUGAGAGGAUUAACCCCCACACUGGUACUGAGACACGGACCAGACUCCUACGGGAGGCAGCAGUGAGGAAUAUUGGUCAAUGGGCGGAAGCCUGAACCAGCCAUCCCGCGUGAAGGAAGACAGCCUUACGGGUUGUAAACUUCUUUUGUACGGAACGAAACGGUGAGCUCUAAUAAAGCUUGCUAAUGACGGUACCGUAAGAAUAAGCACCGGCUAACUACGUG